rnacentral:sRNA from 1 species
GCCAGGCGUGGUGGUGCACACCUGUAAUCCCAGCGGCGCAGGAGGCUGAAGCAGGAGGAUCAUAAGUUCAAAGCCAGCCUCAGCAACUUAGGGAGACCCUGUCUCAA